rnacentral:rRNA from 1 species
AAUUGAAGAGUUUGAUCCUGGCUCAGAUUGAACGCUGGCGGCAUGGCUAAAACAUGCAAGUCGAACGAUGAAAGCUUCUUCGGAAGUAUAUGAAGUGGCGUAAGGGCGAGGAAUAUAUUUCUAUGUACCCCAAAGUCAAGGAUAGCCCAGGGAAACUUGGUGUAAUACUUGAUGUGGUCUCCGGAUCAAAGAUUUAUCGCUUUGGGAGCAGGGAAUAUCCUAUCAGGUAGUUGGUGAGGUAACGGCUCACCAAGCCAAAGACGGGUAGCGGGUGUGAGAGCAUGACCCGCC